CCCUGGCAUUUUGGUACGCUGAUCUGGAAUGCAUUGCUUGUGGCUUUGCUGUCUGCUGCAGGCUGGAGGAGCUUAAAAGCCUUUCUAAGUAGCUGCCUGUCCUUUUAGGACUGGAUGUAGGUUUCUGCCUCUCUUUUUGGCCCUGGCAUUGCUGGCCCCAACCACAUUCCUGAUUGCCCGGGAAGAACAGCCUUUGAAAUUCAACAUCUGCUUCUGGGUAGUUGGUUGAACAAGCCCACCUGACCAAGAGAGGGAAGCACGCUAACUGUUUUCAGUUUGGACACUCUUGGGGGCUUUUUAGUAAUUGCAUGUGUUUCUGAGCAAGUGAGUGUCUUUUGUGGGUACCAGACAACAGGAUUGCUCCUCUCAACUAGGGACAGUCUGAAGAAUUUUGGUGUGCAAAUUCAUCAAGCUCACCCCAUGGAAAGAGGAAGCUCCGCUGUUUCAGUUUGGACACUCUUGGGGUUUGUUGGUUGCUGCAGCACUUGGAUUGUAUUUUGGUGAUUGUUUGUGUAUGUCAAUAUAGCCAUGGGAAGUAAGAAUUUGAUAAGCUGAUAAUCUUAUGUAAUACUGUUUGGCCUCAUAUCUUUGAAUCUGGAUAAGUUUGGCCUCUCCAUGUGCCUCGUUUUGCUGCUGAAUGGCAAAGCAGGGUGGAGUUUUGUGUAUUCAGGCUUUUAUGCUGUUGUUCAAAGCAAGGUCAGGCUUGAUUAGUACAUGAUGUUCUUCUGUGGUUUUUUCUGGCUCCAGUCAUCCUUGGAGUGUGGAGAGAUUUAGCCUUUAAAAAUCAAAAUGCCACAGAAACUGCUAUACCCAAAACUUUGGUUCACAACCUUCAUUGGAUUGCCUAUCAGGUCAAAAGAAGUUUAGCCAUGUGAACGUGUUCAUAAGCCUGUGAGUUUGUAUUGGUAUCUCAUGGCUAGAGUUCCAAGCAUUUCUGCUGUUCAAAUUCUCUCUGCAUUUCAUGACAGCAUCUACAUUCAAGAUUCCCAGAGGCACCAUCCACAAAGCUCUACAGCAUUUAGAUGGAGUUGCAAUUUGUUUCUAAGACAGAGGACAAGAAAUAUGAAGAAGCCUUUCCCUGGAGGCUGAUCCACGUGAUUCAGGAGAGGAAAUGUUUAGAGUUAGAAAGACUCCAUACAGUGCCUAGCUCCAGAUAAGGCUCAUGGUUCUUUCACAGUUAUGUGUGAAUAUGAAUGUGGCUUUUAUAUAUGUGGGCUGCUUUUUAAAUGAAAGGUAAUUUUCUUUUUUAUCAGUCUGGGAGACAAAAACCAAUGGAUGUGUGAAGUAUUGGAGUGAUGUUAACAGGAGCCCUGAGUGCACUGACUGUCCGCCUUGCAGUCCCACACUGUCGGCCUAGAGACCAGAGGAAGGAUCUAGGAGCAGGGAGAGAUCUGUGGCUCCUCUUUGUAUUCCCUCUAAUGAAGGUGUGAAGGUUAGAGGAAAAAUACUGUUACCCAGGUCAUUGAAAAUACCACAGGUAAUUUUAAUUUCUACUGGAUUACUGUAAUUUUGUUUUCUUUUUUAGUUUUUAGAUUUUUUUAUCAUUGACUCUUGCUUUUUUAUUAUUAAUAGUCAUAUUGGCUACAUAAAAUGUAUAACAAACAUUACAUUAUUUAGUAUAAUCUGUAAUAAGCUAUGUAAAAUGAGAACUACAUGUCCCUUAAGAGUUUAAAAGAACUUUGAGUAAAACUGCAUUUCUUUGAAAAUUUUAAGGAAAAAAAAAAGAUAUUUUAAAGUUUUACAAAGUGAAGUCCCUCUAAUACCAAAUUUUCUUUGCAGUCUCUUAGUCAGGAUAGAGUUACUGAGCCUCUAUUUCAGCAUUCUAGAUCCAAACAAAAAGUGGCAAUCACCUCUUUGAUUGAUGAUUUACUGUAUUGGAGGACUUUGAGAAUUUAUUUUAAAAUUAAGUAUAUCCAAAAGAUAAUUUUAUUUAUGAGAACUGUAAAUAUCUGCAGACAUUUUCUCUUUCCUAUUCUAAAACUUACUAAAAUUUUAGAUACAGGAAUUCUCUGUUGAAAAAAAUAUAUAUAUGUAUAGAUAGAUACACACGUAUAUAUAUACGAAAUGUGAGAAAAAAUAUAUAUAUAUAUUCCUUUGAUGGUCUUUAAUAUUUAGUUUAAAAACUUUAAGGAAAUCAUAAAACUUUUAAAUUUCAACUCUCUCUAAGAUUAUAUGGGCAGUUAAGUUUAAAUAUAGAGCAUAUAUUUCUUCAGUUAAAAGGAAGUGUGUAUUUACUGCUGUUCAAUUAGAAAAAGCAAUUAACACCUGCCUAAUCAUAAGCUACACUGUUUUUUAUGUUUAGAUUUUCAAAAUAGAGCUUGCCCAUAAGGACAUCUACCUACUGGGGAACAUAGAAUUAUUUUGAAAAGUUUGUUAAGAAUUGGCUGAUUACUUGACCUAAGGAUUUAAUUCAGCAUGAAUACACAAAAGAAAGAAAAUGUAUAUUUGCUUGUGUUCAAGUCUGAAAUUAAGCUUUGGUCUACGGUUAAAUUAAUACAGCCCUGAGAACACCUUGUCUUAACUUCCUAAAAAUUAAUUUUGAGAAAUAGAUUUAAUAGUACCAAGGUACAUUGUUGUUAUAAUGAAGAAGGCGAGAAUAGUUUUUAUUACCUUAAUUGACGCGCUUUUAUAAAACGUCAUUUGCAUCUGGAUUCUAAAGGGAACGUGAAUUAUUUUUGCACGAUUAUGAUUUGGAGUAAUAUUGAAAUAUUAAAAAAAUUCAUCCUUUUAUUCUUAAUUGAAUUCCAAUGCAGUAACUUCAAAACAAUGGAAAUAGCAUGAGGCCAGAAAGGGGAAAGGGAGUAGUUGACACUUUGCAUACCACCAGUAACAUGGAAUAGGAGGGAUGCUACAAUUAUAGGAUGCUACUAAAUAUGAAAAUUUAUUCAUUAAUUCAGCAUUUGUACACUGAGCAUCUACUAUGUGUCAGCUAUCAAGUAUGUAAUGAUGAGCGAAGAAAAAAAAACAAAAAACAAUAAUCAACCCAAAAAGUAAUACUGUCAUGUAGAUUAUAGCAUUAAGAUUAUCCAAAACUUAAACAUUCUACAAAUAGAUGUGAAAUUAAUUACAAGUGUUAAAGUGUUAUUACUGCUACAAAAGAAAGGUAAUGUUUUGCAAGAUCAUAGAAUAGUCAACUUAACCUUGUAGAAAGAUCAAGGAAGUCUUCCCAAGGAAUUAAAUGAUACUUUCAUUAUCUUUGCUUUACCUGUGAAGAGCUGAAGUACAGUUAAAUAACUUGCUAAAGUUUUCACAACUGCUAAGUGAUAAAGACAGGACUGGGAUCCAUGCACUGGUGCCAGAGCCUACAAUAUUAACCCCUCUAAUAUACUGUCCGCCACUGAAUUCCUUACUAUAAUGUCAAGAGUUUAUUAGGCAAGCUUCAUCAGGUUGACUAAGCAAUGGUCAUCAAGGGAACAGUAAAGAGAGGUUAGGAGAGAGGAAUAAUUAGAAUUAUAAUAACUCAAAUAUGCAGCAACCUCACGAAUUAGGAAAGGAAAAGAAAAAGAAAAAUAAAUAAAUGUAUAACUAGCCUUGAAUCUAGUUUAUGGAAAUAAGUAGUUUUCAUCUAACAGUCUGCAUAGGAAACUACAUAAGCUCAAUUCACAGAAUGAAGAUAAAUGAUUAUUAAAAAUAAUCCUCAUCUAUGACAGAAUACUUUGUGCCCACUCCCAAUCAUAUCAUUUAAAGCUAAAUUACCAAAAGCAUGUCAUUUGUCUUUGAAUUUCAGGUUUAUUAACUGUAUAAUGGCAAUUGAAUUACCUUUCCUGGAAUUAAAGGUAAACAGUCUUUUCCCCACAUUAUUCUGAAAUUGAUUUUGCUUUGAAGAUAACAUGUACACUUACAUUGUGUUUCUGUUUCAUGAAAAUCUAUUGUUAAUGCUAAAUAUUUUAAAAUAAUGUUUUCAUUCAUUAAUUCAAUGAAUACUUAGAAAAUUCUAUUGAAGAUACUGGACAAAAUUAAGAGAGGCAUAAUUUUGGAGCUUACAUUCUAUAGGAGGAGAAAGAAAAUUAACAAGUAGACCAAGCCAUGUAUAAAUACAAUUUAUGUUUAUAAUUGAAUAUGGAACAUGCAGAAGCCAUUCUCAAAUGGAUAACUCUAGUCUGGGUGGAAAUCAAACAUUUCUUGCCCAAUGUACCAAUGAGACUGUACCAUAAUAAUGUGUAAAUAUUCCUAAUAUAAAUAAUAGUAUAAGUAAUAUUUGCUUCAGUGCUUCAAUUUCUUAAUCAAAUACACUAAAGAAUAAUUGUGGAUCUUUAAUUUCUACAUUUUACAUUUACUUUGCUGAAUAAUUAUUAUAUUUAUAAUAUUACCAAUAUUUAAUAACCUACUCUACUGUAGUAGGGCUUCUACGGUAGGAAAGCUAAGAUUGUAAAUCCUAUUAUAAAGUUUUGUUUUUCCCUUAAGCAAAACAACUCCUAUUUUUUUUGUGUAAACUCAUUUUUCUACAAUAAUUGGAUGUUUUAAAGAGACAUAGUUAUUCUUCUGGUAUUUUCUAUUUUAUUUUUUCACUGCAAAUUCAUCACCUCAUUCUGUUGACUGGAUCAAAUUUAUUAUUAAUGUAUCACCUGGGCUGUCAGUAAUUUUUAACAUGUCAAUAUUUUCCAGUAUUUCUAGUAAGUAUGCUUUACCAGAAACAUACAUAUUUUAUAGUUUUUCUUUGCUUCUUAAAUUUUCCUUUAUUUAUUUUCAGAAGUCUUUGUCUUUCUUUUCACUGAGAAAGUCAACCAUGGUUUAUGGGUCAGCUUAAUUUUUUACUUAAAGGAGGUCUUUCCUAAUUACCUAAUUUAAAUUGAUAUCCACUCAGAUUGUUCUGUUUUAUUGUAUCCUAAUGUUUUCCUUCAUCUGUCACAUUUCAAAAGUAUUGCUUAUGUAAGUCCUCAAAAGUAUUGCUUAUGUAAGUGUUUUAGCAUACACUUUUCCUACCACUUGGAGUCUCAUGGUCCCAGUGACUACGUGGGUUUUGUUCACUGAUACAUGCCCAGUUUUUAGCACAGUGCCUUGUACAGAGUAUGAAAUAUUUUUCCUGUAAAGAAAUGAGUGUUGGAUGUUACAGUCUGUGAUAAUAAGGAAAAUCCUGCCCUUCAUUUGUUACUUUCUCUUGCAUAAGAAAUACUUCACUAUUAUUUACCUUAAUUCUUAUCUCAAUUCUAAUAUGCAUGCUGGUUUGUGCCAUUGCUAAGCUCUUUUAAUUGCAAAAGACAAGAAUAUUUGUUUUUAACAGAGUAAUUUGUUAUGAUUCCACAUCCUCCAACAGUGUCAUGGUACAAACAUAAAAUAUAAUAGAGAACAAUGACCAACUUUUAUCUCCUUAUUCUAGUUUUUAUCUCCUUGUGAAUUAAUUUUAGAACUCAAAACUUAGAUAAAAGUAUCUAUGGAGAUUUCUUCCUUUUCAUUUUACUUUACCUAAUUUUAUUGGCUUGAAAGACCUCAUUGUGCUUAAUUAAUAUCAGUGAUCAAAUCUAUUAUGUUCACUUUCACUAUGUAGGUCUUUAAGGGGUACCAACCACUCAAAUAGUCAAAAAGUCCAUGUAUAACUUUUGACUAACCCAAAGAGUUAACUACUAAUAGCCUAUUAUUGACUGGAAGCCUUACCAAUAACAUAAACAGUCAAUUAACACAUAUUUUCUAUGUGAUAUGUAUUAGAUACAGUAUUCUUACAAUAAAAUAAACUAGAGAAAGGAACAUAUUAUUAAGAAAAUCAUAUGAAAGAGAAAAUAUGUUUACUAUUAAGUGGAAGUGGAUCAUUACAAAAGUCUUCAUCUUUGUCAUCAUUUUGAGUUGGCUGAGGAGGAGAGGAAGAGGAAGGAUUGGUUUUGCUGUCCCAGGGGUGGCAGAGGGGGAAGGAAAUCUGCAUAUGAAUGCAUUCAUGCCAUUCAAACCUAUGUUGUUCAAGAGACCACUGUAAAUUAAAAAGGCAUCAGAUUUUU
rnacentral:lncRNA from 1 species